GAUGAUGUCUCUUUCUCCUCAAUUGACUACCGAAGGGGAGAAAGUGACAAAAAUGCAUAAUAGUGUACGGUAAAAGUGAAAAAAAAUGGAGAAGCAAGCAAAAGUGGUAGAGAUGAUGUAAAUGACAUCUCCGCAAAUUUGAGUAGACA
ensembl:ncRNA C05D12.10 ncRNA